CUUGCUUGUUGGGGUUGUAGGACACUCUAUACGGAGUUACAAAGGACGACAUUAGACGAAUCAUCUGGAAAGAUGAAUCAAAGAAGGUAAUAAUCCUGUAGUCGAAAAUGUUGUCUCUCUUGAGUGGAUCCUGAGUACGACGGAGCACGUGAAAUUCCGUCGGAAUCUGGGAGGACCAUCUCCUAAGGCUAAAUACUCUCUAGUGACCGAUAGUGAACCAGUACCGUGAGGGAAAGGUGAAAAGCACCCCGGAAGGGGAGUGAAAUAGAACCUGAAACCGUGUGCUUACAAGUAGUCAGAGCCCGUUAAUGGGUGAUGGCGUGCCUUUUGUAGAAUGAACCGGCGAGUUACGAUUUGAUGCAAGGUUAAGCAGUAAAUGUGGAGCCGUAGCGAAAGCGAGUCUGAAUAGGGCGUUUAGUAUUUGGUCGUAGACCCGAAACCAGGUGAUCUACCCUUGGUCAGGUUGAAGUUCAGGUAACACUGAAUGGAGGACCGAACCGACUUACGUUGAAAAGUGAGCGGAUGAACUGAGGGUAGCGGAGAAAUUCCAAUCGAACCUGGAGAUAGCUGGUUCUCUCCGAAAUAGCUUUAGGGCUAGCCUCAAGUGAUGAUUAUUGGAGGUAGAGCACUGUUUGGACGAGGGGCCCCUCUCGGGUUACCGAAUUCAGACAAACUCCGAAUGCCAAUUAAUUUAACUUGGGAGUCAGAACAUGGGUGAUAAGGUCCGUGUUCGAAAGGGAAACAGCCCAGACCACCAGCUAAGGUCCCAAAAUAUAUGUUAAGUGGAAAAGGAUGUGGCGUUGCCCAGACAACUAGGAUGUUGGCUUAGAAGCAGCCAUCAUUUAAAGAGUGCGUAAUAGCUCACUAGUCGAGUGACACUGCGCCGAAAAUGUACCGGGGCUAAACAUAUUACCGAAGCUGUGGAUUGUCCUUUGGACAAUGGUAGGAGAGCGUUCUAAGGGCGUUGAAGCAUGAUCGUAAGGACAUGUGGAGCGCUUAGAAGUGAGAAUGCCGGUGUGAGUAGCGAAAGACGGGUGAGAAUCCCGUCCACCGAUUGACUAAGGUUUCCAGAGGAAGGCUCGUCCGCUCUGGGUUAGUCGGGUCCUAAGCUGAGGCCGACAGGCGUAGGCGAUGGAUAACAGGUUGAUAUUCCUGUACCACCUAUAAUCGUUUUAAUCGAUGGGGGGACGCAGUAGGAUAGGCGAAGCGUGCGAUUGGAUUGCACGUCUAAGCAGUAAGGCUGAGUAUUAGGCAAAUCCGGUACUCGUUAAGGCUGAGCUGUGAUGGGGAGAAGACAUUGUGUCUUCGAGUCGUUGAUUUCACACUGCCGAGAAAAGCCUCUAGAUAGAAAAUAGGUGCCCGUACCGCAAACCGACACAGGUAGUCAAGAUGAGAAUUCUAAGGUGAGCGAGCGAACUCUCGUUAAGGAACUCGGCAAAAUGACCCCGUAACUUCGGGAGAAGGGGUGCUCUUUAGGGUUAACGCCCAGAAGAGCCGCAGUGAAUAGGCCCAAGCGACUGUUUAUCAAAAACACAGGUCUCUGCUAAACCGUAAGGUGAUGUAUAGGGGCUGACGCCUGCCCGGUGCUGGAAGGUUAAGAGGAGUGGUUAGCUUCUGCGAAGCUACGAAUCGAAGCCCCAGUAAACGGCGGCCGUAACUAUAACGGUCCUAAGGUAGCGAAAUUCCUUGUCGGGUAAGUUCCGACCCGCACGAAAGGCGUAACGAUUUGGGCACUGUCUCAACGAGAGACUCGGUGAAAUCAUAGUACCUGUGAAGAUGCAGGUUACCCGCGACAGGACGGAAAGACCCCGUGGAGCUUUACUGUAGCCUGAUAUUGAAAUUCGGCACAGCUUGUACAGGAUAGGUAGGAGCCUUUGAAACGUGAGCGCUAGCUUACGUGGAGGCGCUGGUGGG
rnacentral:rRNA from 1 species